ensembl:snRNA U7 U7 small nuclear RNA
AAAUGUCCUCUUUUAGUAUUUGUCCAGUAGGUUUCCUCAAGUGGAAAUCCCCC